rnacentral:rRNA from 1 species
AGUGAACGCUGGCGGCGUGCUUAACACAUGCAAGUCGAACGAGAACGGGCUAUAGCUUGCUAUAGUUGUCAGCUAAGUGGCGCACGGGUGAGUAAUGUAUAGGUAAUAUGCCUCUUACUAAGGGAUAACAACUGGAAACGUUUGCUAAUACCUUAUACUCCUUAUUAACAGAAGUUAAUAAGGGAAAGAUUUAUUGGUAAGAGAUUAGCCUGUAUUGUAUUAGUUAGUUGGUGGGGUAAUGGCUUACCAAGACUAUGACACAUAACUGGUUUGAAAGGAUGAUCAAUCACACGGGAACUGAGACACGGUCCAGACUCCUACGGGAGGCAGCAGUGGGGAAUAUUGCACAAUGGACGAAAGUCUGAUGCAGCAUCGCCGCGUGGAGGAUGACACAUUUCGGUGCGUAAACUCCUUUUAUAUGAGAAGAUAAUGACGGUAUUAUAUGAAUAAGCACCGGCUAACUCCGUGCCAGCCGCCGCAGUAA